CUGACAUGAAACUGAGUUCAAGUGAUGUAUUUCGGUGUUGCUCAGGGUUUAAAUGUCACCUGUGUCACCUGAGAUAGACGCACGCGGCCACAGGUGUGUGGGAAGGACUUCUAUUCAUGAUUGAUGUAUUGUAGGUGGGCUGACAGCGGCCCACCGUAUGUCCUGUCAUAUGGCAGAGGUUUGGCGCUGGCUCGGCUGUGAAGAUAAGAGCUGUCACUUUGAAAUGCUGGAGGAUUUCAGCCUGAUGUCUUGAUAACACACCUGUCAGGUUCUCGGCCUUUGUCUUCUAUUGGUCAGUCAAAUGGGUAGCCCCACCC